AUACGUAGGGGGCGAGCGUUGUCCGGAAUGAUUGGGCGUAAAGGGCGCGUAGGCGGCCCGGUAAGUCUGGAGUGCAAGUCCUGUUUUUAAGAUGGGAAUUGCUUUGGAUACUGUCGGGCUUGAGUGCAGGAGAGGUAAGUGGCAUUCCCAGUGUCGCGGUGAAAUGCGUAGAGGUUGGGAGGAACACCAGUGGCGAAGGCGACUUACUGGACUGUAACUGACGCUGAGGCGCGAAAGUGUGGGGAGCAAACAGGAUUAGAUACCCUGGUAGUCCACACUGUAAACGAUGAAUGCUAGGUGUAGGGGGUAUCGACCCCUUCUGUGCCGCAGGCAACACAAUAAGCAUUCCGCCUGGGGAGUACGGCCGCAAGGUUGAAACUCAAAUGAAUUGGCGGGG
rnacentral:rRNA from 1 species